rnacentral:lncRNA from 1 species
CCGUCGAUGAAACUGGUGUAUGGGUCGACGGUGGUUGACGAAAAUUGACCAACAAACUGUUCUUGUUGUUGAUCGAUGAGGAGCGUCUUCCUUUGAGGAUUGAACGUUCCAAACUUGCAGGGUCUAAUGAGAAUAACAGUCGAGUUUCCUUGUUGCUUCAGGUACUGCUGGGCAUGUACCUGAAAAGACAAGAAAACAUUUUUGUGUCAGAGAGUGGUAUUAAGAAGAAGACUAGAAUAAAUCGAAUUAAAUCUAUCAAGCAAUCAAAGCUCCCGGCAACGGCACCAAAUUUGAUCUUCACUCAAAUUAUCCUAAGGAGUGAAUUACUCUCUCAAAUAAGAGGUUCAUUUGUAGUACUUAGGGAUCAAAUUCUCAGGGAGCUAGGGAACCUAAUAAAUCUAAUUAAGUUGAUUAAGCUAGGUUGAUUAUGAUUAAAUGUAAAAGAUAGGUUUGUGAGCAACUUAAUUGCUCGAUUGAUCAAUUGGGGUUUUGGUACGUAGAUGAAAAUAGCGAAACUUAGGGUUUUUAUUCAGGUAAUCAGGAUUAUAAUCCGACCGAUGCCUAAUAAGUUGUAUGCAUGAUAUUAUAGAGCUCAACACGUAAUAACAAACCAUUAGGCUCUCGCUUUCUAGGUUUGUCUAUUGACCAUUGUCGAUCGAUUAUUCUAUAGGAAUAUCGAUCGAUACACUUGUUGCAACGUCGACCGAUUAU